rnacentral:misc_RNA from 1 species
GGGGCGUGGUGCGUUCGGUGAUGUUGGGUCUUGCUUACGCGUUGGCGUGUGAGAUGUGCUUCGGAUAUUUGUGUUUGCCGGCUCUCUGCUUUUGCAUCGAACGGUCUGCAUGUAUUCCUUGUCAGUUUUUGUUGUACGCCCUUGGUGUUUGUAUGUGGUUCCUGUUUUGCUUACCUUUGAAACGGUAUCCGCGUGGCUUGUUACGCUUGAUCCAUCCCCUGCCGUUGCACGGUCUUGUGGUGGCUUUUGUAGUUUUACGUAUGAGCCCUUUCUAGAUGUACUCGUAUGUAUGUCUAGGGAGGUGCCCAUGUAUUGACUGAAUCUUCGGACGCGGUGCUUGAGAUGAACUUUUGUGUUUUUUUCACAUUGUCCCUAAAUAAUGGUUGCCUUAAAUUAUGCCUGCUGUUCUGCACGUUUUGAUUGCCUCUCGUGGGCGCAAAGCUUGCAUUACGGCAGAGUCAUUAAUGGAUGC